rnacentral:rRNA from 1 species
UCUUUAAAAUUAAAAGUUUUGGCGGUAUUUUAGUCUUUUCAGAGGAACCUGUUUUUUAAUUGAUAGUCCACGAUUAAUUUUACUUUAAUUUUUAAUUUAUAUAUCGUCGUUUAUAAAGAUUUUAUUAUUUAAUUUUUUCAGAUCAAGGUGUAGUUUAUAUUAAAGUUAAAAUGGGUUACAAUGAAAAUUUUGAAUAAAUUGGAUUUGAAAGUAAGCUCUAAAAUAUGUACAUAUCGCCCGUCGCUUUCGUUAUAAAAUGAAAUAAGUCGUAACAAAGUAGGCUUAUUGGAAAAUGAGCCUAGAAUGCAAAUUAGAGCUUGAUAAGCAUUUUAUUUACACUAAAAAGUUAACUGUGAAAUUCAGUUUGAUUUGAAUUUAUUAUAUUAUUUAGUUUAUUUUUUUGUUAUUUUAAUAGAAAUAUUUAAUUUUUUAUUAUUUUCUGGAAAAAAUUUAAUUAUAGUUUAUAGUAUAGUGAUAGAAUUUUAUAAAAUUUAUAUAAGAAAAUUUUAUUUGUUGUACCUUGUGUCUCAGGGUUGAUUAAUUUUGUGUUCUCGAAUUUAAAAGAGCUAAUUUUAUUGUAAAAUAAAUAUUUAUAAUAAUUAGUUAGAAAUGAAACGUUAUUCGUUUUUAAAUAUAUCUAGUUUUUUUAGAAAAAAAUUUAAUUUUUUUAUUAUUAAUAAUUUUAUUGGGGGAUAAGCUUCUUAUUAUAAAUUUAUAAAUUAAUUUAAUUUUAAAAAUCGUAGGAUUAGAAUUUUCUAUUGUUAAGAGAAUGUUAUAAUUAAUUAUUUUAAUUUUUUUAUAAAAAUUUAUUUUUUAUUUUAUAUUGUUUAGUAAUAAUGAUUAAAUUAGUAAGGUUAUAUUAAGGAAUUCGGCAAAUAAUAUUUUCACCUGUUUAAUAAAAACAUGUCUUUUUGAUUAUAAUUUAAAGUCUUGCCUGCCCAAUGAUUUAAUGGCCGCAGUAUUUUGACUGUGCAAAGGUAGCAUAAUCAUUAGUUUUUUAAUUGAAAGCUGGAAUGAAUGGUUUGAUGAGAAAUAUACUGUCUCUAGAAUUUUAAUUUUGAGUGAAAAAGCUUAAAUUUUAUAUAAAGACGAGAAGACCCUAUAGAGUUUUUUUGUUGGGGUGAUGUAAAAAUUUAAAAAACUUUUUAUU